rnacentral:tRNA from 2 species
GCCCAGGUGGCGAAAUUGGUAUACGCACUACCUUGAGGUGGUAGCGGGGAAACUCAUGCGGGUUCAAAUCCCGCCCUGGGCA